GGGAUUGUAGCUCAGUGGUAGAGCACUUGCCUUGUAUACACAAGGUCCUGGGUUUGAUCCUCAGCACCA
rnacentral:tRNA from 1 species